GAUGAACGCUGGCGGCGUGCCUAAUACAUGCAAGUCGAGCGAACGGACGAGAAGCUUGCUUCUCUGAUGUUAGCGGCGGACGGGUGAGUAACACGUGGAUAACCUACCUAUAAGACUGGGAUAACGUCGGGAAACCGGAGCUAAGACCGGAUGAUAUUUUGAACCGCAUGGUUCAAAAGUGAAAGACGGUCUUGCUGUCACUUAGAGAUGGAUCCGCGCUGCAUUAGCGAGUUGGUAAGGUAACGGCUUACCAAGGCAACGAUGCAUAGCCGACCUGAGCGGGUGAUCGGCCACACUGGAACUGAGACACGGUCCAGACUCCUACGCGAGGCAGCAGUAGGGAAUCUUCAGCAAUGGGCGAAAGCCUGCCGGAGCAACGCCGCGUGAGUGAUGAAGGUCUUCGGAUCGUAAAACUCUGUUAUUAGGGAAGACCAUAUGUGUAAGUCACUGUGCACAUCUUGACGGUACCUAAUCAGAAAGCCACGGCUAACUACGUG
rnacentral:rRNA from 1 species